rnacentral:rRNA from 1 species
GUAUUGGCUUACCGUGGCAGUGACGGUUAACGGGGGAUUAGGGUUCGAUUCCGGAGAGGGAGCCUGAGAAACGGCUACCACAUCUAAGGAAGGCAGCAGGCGCGCAAAUUACCCAAUUCUAACAGCAUAAGAGAGGUAGUGACAAGAAAUAACAAUACAAGGCAGUUAAAAUGCUUUGUAAUUGGAAUGAUAGAAAUUUAAACACUUUUUAAAGUAUCAAUUGGAGGGCAAGUCUGGUGCCAGCAGCCGCGGUAAUUCCAGCUCCAAUAGCGUAUAUUAAAAUUGUUGCAGUUAAAAAGCUCGUAGUUGAAUUUCUGUUAAAAAUAACCGGUCUGCUUUUAAUAAAAGUGGUAUCUUGGUGUGUUUUUAGCAAUAAUGUCCUUUGAAAUGUUUUUUACUUUAUUGUAAUAAAUAAUAUUCAGGAUUUUUACUUUGAGAAAAU